ensembl:misc_RNA Metazoa_SRP Metazoan signal recognition particle RNA
ACCAGACAUGGUAGUGCAUGCCUAUAGUCUCAGCUACUUGGGAGGCUGAGGUGGGAGGAUUGCUUAAGCCCAGGAGUUCUGGGCUGUAGUGAGCUAUGCCAAUUGGGUGUCUGUACUAAGUUCAGCAUGAAUAUGGUAACCUCCUGGGAGCAGAAAACCACUAGGUUGCCUAAGGAGGGGUGAACCAGCCCAGGUUGGAAAAGCAGCAGGUCAAACCUCCCAUGCUGAUCAGUAGUGGGAUCGUGCCUGUGAAUAGCCACUGCACUCCAGCCUGGGCAACAUAGUGAGGACCCAACCCUA